AAUUAUAUAGUCAAUUAUGAUUAUAAGCUGCAAACUUAUAGGUAAUUUAUAUUAAAUUUAUAAUUU
rnacentral:tRNA from 1 species